rnacentral:lncRNA from 1 species
GAUCCCGUGUUGCUGUGGCUGUGGCGUAGGCUGGCAGCUACAGCUCCAAUUUGACCCCUAGCCUGGGAACCUCCAUAUGGCGUGGAUGUGGCCCUAAAAAGACCAAAAGAAUUAAAAAGUAAAAUUUUUCAUUUUUUAUUGAAGUAUACUUGAUUUAAAAUAUUUCAAAAGUGAUUCAAUUUUAUGUAUGUAUCUCAUCAAGAACCACAAAUAUAGUGAUUGAGCUGUAAAUUCUUCAAGAAUCUUCCUUCCUGUUGGAAUAAAAAAUUCUUCUUUUGUGAUUUUGAGUUGAAUAUUGUAUUUAUAAUACAAUAUUCUCUUGUUUUUACUGACUUUUUAUCCCUUUAGUUGUUUUCAGUAGUAACAGUAAUACUUAAUAGUUAUUCCCUGUGUACUCUGUGUCAGGCACGGUGCAUUACAAACAGUGUCCAUUUUAAUCCUACUAAUCCUUGGAUUAUUACUAUCGUUUGUUCUUUAUAGCAGUAGUUCUCGAACUUCCUGGUUUCAGGAACUGUUUAUACUUCUAAAAAUUAUUAAGGACUCUGAAGAACUUUUGCUUAUUUGCAUUAUGUCUAUUGAUACAUGUUGUAUUAGAAAUUGCUUUGACAUCUUUUCAGUGUUAUUUCAUUUUAAAAGAGCAGUAAUAAGUCUAAUAUGUUAACAUAAAUAACACUUUAAUGAAAAAUUAUAUGUUCUAAAGAAAACUUUACUUUUCUUAGUAGCACUUUCGCAUUUUUGCAAAUCUCUCAACUGCCUUGCUUAAUAGAAGACGGCUGAAUUCUUAUACAUGCUUCUGCAUUCAAUUUGUUAUGCUUCAUUGUUUUAAUAAAUUGUAUUGUUCCUAGUUAUUCAGUUCCCUUCCAUAUGUCAGGCUUGGCCAUGUGACUUACUUUGGUAGUAAAAUCAAAGUGUUUCAUACCUUACUUUUCAGAGGAAGCUUCAAGAGCCAUUUUGAGGUUCUUCAUCACUCUUUCCCUCUGUUAUGUGCAUAGAAUUCCCCAAAGAGUGGCUGCCUCUUUUCCAACUUUGUUCUACAAUCAAAAUGUCAUGAAACAGAGCAAUUGAUGCCUAGCUAACAAUAUGUGAGGAAGGAUUAAACCUUGGUUGUAAGCCAUUGAGAUUUAGUGGUUAAUUUGUUAAUUUGUUAUUGUAUCAUAACUCAGUACAAGGGGACUGAUAUACAAAUUGAGAUACUGCUGUAAUAAAUACACAUUCAAAUAUACCUGAAAUAUAUGACAUUGAUUUGGGGGCUAAGCAAAUUGUGAUUCCCAUGAUAAAACUUUUGGGGAAGCUGUCUCUUGACAUAAUCAGAAAUCAGAUAAUGUAACAGAUGCUUAAUAUGUGGCAUUAAUCAAAGAGUUUGGUGAACAAAAUAUGACCAGUGUUCUUUGGUUGCUAUUGGCUUCAUUUGAUUGGACAAGAGAGAUGAGCUCAGGGAAGUAUAAGCAGGGUACAAAGGGAAUAUGGAGAAUCUAGAAAUUUCAAGAAUUGAAGGGUCAAAAGGUACUUUCUCACCUGAUAAAAUAUAUAAUUGAAAAAUUAUUUGAAUGGAGAGGAGCCUGUUAUAUUUCAGCCACCUAUCAAAGACCACAUGAGGGCUAAAGCCAGCAUAGUUUGUUUUUUUUAAACUCAGAUUCAGUUAAAGUAGGUACCUAGUAAAUAAUUUCACUUGAUUGACAUGGCUCAGGAUGAAAAAAGUACUGAGUGUGCAGCUAUCCCAUAGAAACUUGCUCGCCUCAAGGAAAUUGUAUUUAAGUCUAGUGUAAGAGGCAUAUCCUUAAAAGGUUUAUGAGUAUGACUGUUGAUAUAACAAGAUGACCACAAUUAAAUAAAUAAAAAGCUGACUAAAAUUUCCAGCAAGUUGUACCAUUCAUUGAGCUAGUAGGUUCCACUAAAAGAGAUUUGAUUGUUUAUGACUUUGUGCUUUCUACCUUCUAUGAAUGAUAAGUGGCCUGAGAAAGCUGGUCAGCCACUUAUGUGAUGGUAGUAAGGCAUAUUCUUUAAUACCUUAACUAUAGCUCUAAGGAAGAUCAAGGAAAAUGAAUGACUUCCUAUAGGACAGAGCUGGCAGCCUCAGAGAACAAUGAACUAGAAAACCAUCCAAAGAAAGCAAAACCAGGGCCAGUUACAGAACAUUCCCUACUCCCAGUUUUGAAGCUCCCCUCACAACUUCAGAAUUCACAUUGAUAAGUGACUUCUGUUUGUUUCCCAUUCUUCCCUUUUCCAAGCUGAAGUUGUAUUCCACUUGUAUUAUUCUCAUUCUAUAAUUAUAUGUUCAAUAUUUGAGGGGCAGCUAACCUGUCUUUGUGUUUAUUGACCUCCAGAAUAAAAGGGCCACAACUGGAUUUUAAAUGGAGCCUAACACAAGAUCCUAGACUUUGUAAGUCUAUUAAUUGUAAUUCUCCACCUGUGACUUCUUGUGUCCAAUAUAAUGUGAAGAGAAGGCGUGUACCUCCAAGCAGAGUCCUUAGAAACAGUACAUUGUUCUGCCAUGGCUUACUUCCAUUUGCUGUGAAGUUAGUGUGUCCCAAAAAGGGGCUGCUUCUUUUAGCCUCUAACCCCCAGAUGACAUGUAACAUGGGUAAAACAUAAGUCUUUAUAGGUCUAAGCCACAAAGAUUUAGGAGUUAUUUCUUAUCGCAUUGUAACCUAGUAUAAGCUGUCUGAUAAAGCAAUAAUGGUCAAAGUUUGUGUUUACUGUUAGAAUCCCGGAGAUAAUAAGACUCCAAAAUGUCCUGGAAAUUGCCUUUUUCUCUGCACUUUACCACCAGAAGAUAGAGAAUGAAAAUUACCAUUUUUAUUUGGCACUUCACAUACACCAUGUGUAUUGUUAUUUUUUUCACAGCUCCAUUCUGCUACUCACUUUGUCAUAGGCUCAGAAAUUUCAUUUUGUGCUACCUAUUCUUCCCCAUUAGUGGAGUGAAACAGUCUUCUACAAUAGUUUUAUUCAAUUGGCUUUUACAUUGGCAUGUUUAAUUGUAGAAGCUAUGAUCUAAAUUUGUUUAUGAUACUUUGGCCACUUAGAGACAGUGAGUUGGAGCGGCUGUCUGUGAUUGAAUACUGUCACAGAACACAUGGAAAGGUCUCCAUACUUUUCAAACUACAGUGUCAGUACAUUUUUAACAGUUUUCAGGAUCCGAUUCAAACACGGGUUUUUGUUUUUUGUACCUGGAGAAAAUCUUGCUACUUUCCCCCACUGCCUUUUUGCCCCAGUGGCAGUGUUAUGGACUUUGAUCAGUGUAUUCUUUGGAGGACACCAGGCUCAGCAUCUUUUUCCUUUUUGAUUGUAAGCUUUCAGAACUCCACAGCUAAGUUUGGGGCAAACGCUUCAGUCAGGCGAUUUGUUCUUUAAUUUAGCUGAAUUGUAGAACAUUGUGGCUCAUUAUCUUUCUUGACUUGAAAAUACAAAUGAGUACCUGAGUUAUAAGAAUCCCUCAGGAUGCUGUAGCCAUUGAUGAUGCUUGAUAAGAGAAACUGCAGCCAUUAAUGAUGCUUAAAGAAAUGAAAGCCAUUGAUGAUGCUUGAAGAAAUGAAAGCUACGGCAAGAAAGUGCUGUAGCCAUUGAUGAUGUUUGAUAAGAGAAACAUAUAUAAAAACAUAGAAUGUUCAUGUCCUUUACAAAAACAUUUUCACCAAUUCAGUAAGGGGAAAGUGCUUAUUAGUAGGUUAAUUCAGGCAAGGCUAUGGGCACAGAUUCUUAAAUUAGUUGAGGCAAAAAGGAAUCAUAAAAGUUGGAUUGUAAUCUAACAAAAUGUCUCAAUAUUGAUCCUCUGCUAACCAAAACAUCUUGAAUUGAGCUGAGGAUGUACAGAGCUGGGCAAUUUUGGUGAUCUGGUAAAUUUUUAUAGACUUGUUAGUAUUCUUGGGAUUUGUCUUAAGUCUGUCAAACUAACUUGAAUUGAACUGUGUGCUCAAGAAGUUGGCAGACACAUGCAAAAACUAAGCUAAGGUAUGUGAAGGUCAUUAAUUUCUUAAGUUUAACCAGUUGUCACUGAAGCACAUUUGUUAUUUGAAAGGCUGUUCUCUAUGCAUAUUAAUAUGCCUGCACAGUGCCUCUGUUCAUAUUAUGUGAAAACGGUAGGAUUAUUUAUCUUGUCACAUUAGUUAACUGGAGUCAAGUGCUCAAAUUUGAAAGUAAUUUUUUUUCAGUUUGGGGUAUUUAUAAAACUUUUUUUUGGAUGACUCAUUAUUAGACAGAUAAACGAUUCAUACAGUUAUGAAGGAAACAACAUUUAUCUUUCAAGGGUUUUGGGGAAAGCAUUGUACAGUUAAUUCAUUGCUUUUUGACAUGCCUAGCAAUUCUGUUGUUAUGGUAUUGAAAAAAAUAAUUUGUAGAAUGCUCAGUGCAGAGCACCUUUUAGUUUUCUUAUUAUCAGGGAACAGACACCAAGAGACCUUAACAACUGGCUUGCUUAUAUAUUAAUGAUGACAGAGGUCUGGAACUCCUGUUAACUUGAUGAACUAAAGCUAAAAUAUAAAGAAAAAUAUAUUCUCUUUCAUGUAUGAAUAUGUCAUUAAUUUUCUGUCAUACAUAGCAUGCAUUUUGUUGAUUUUUUUAAAAGAGAGAUGGAAAACAAGGAAUGGGAAUGUUUAGUAGGUUCUUCAAGUCAAUUGUACCUGUAAAAAAAUAGCUGGAGAACGUGAAUUGAUUGCAAAUUCAGAUUAAAUAAUCAAGAUGAUCUACCAAAAAGCUAAAUUGAUCUGAGAUUUUGUUAUAGAAGAAAAUUAUCUAACAGUUUUCAAAAUUUCUCUAGAACAAUCUUGUCAGUGUUUUAUAAAAAAUGUGUAAUCUUGGGCCCUAUCCCAUACAUAAUGAUUCAGAAACUUGACUUUUGCUCUAGCAUUCGGUGUUUUAGUAAGUCCUCCAAGGGAAUUAUGAUUUAUGCUACAUUUUCAGAACUACUGAUCUACAACAAAAUCCUCUUCUACCUGAUGCUUAUCAAAGCAUUUCUGGAUCAAUUAUUUGGCUUUUAUUUUGUAGUCUAAAAAAGAUGCUUCCAGCUGAAGUCUCCUAAAGGAAAAUGCUGUGGCAUAGAAAGGACUAGAGGAGUUCCUGUCGUGGCUCAGGGGUAACAAACCUGACUAGCAUCCAUAAGGAUGUGGGUUCGAUCUCUGGCCUCGCUCAGUGGGUUAGGAUCCAUUGUUGCUGUGAGCUGUGGUGUAGGUCACAGACAAGGCUCAGAUACUGCAUUGCUGUGGCUGUGGUGUAGGGUUGACAGCUGCAGCUCUGAUUUGACCCCUAGCCUGGGAACCUCCAUAUGCUG